AACCAUCAGCACAUCAUGUGUGAAGACUCCUGUGCUAUGAGUCACAUCAUGUUGGCUCUUCGUGUUGCAGAGCUGCUCCUCGUCACUGGAACGACCGCUCUGCUCAUCAGAACAUGGUGCAGAACAAGAAGGAAUCAGACUCGUCCUGGAGGCAACAUUGUGCAUAAUGAUAAUGAUGAUGAUGAUGAUGAUGAUGAUGGUUCAGUGAAGAAUGACAACAUAGAAGAUCC